rnacentral:rRNA from 1 species
AGUGAACGCUGGCGGUAGGCCUAACACAUGCAAGUCGAACGGCAGCACAGUAAGAGCCUGCUCUUACGGGUGGCGAGUGGCGGACGGGUGAGGUAUACAUCGGAAUCUACUUUUUCGUGGGGGAUAACGUAGGGAAACUUACGCUAAUACCGCAUACGACCUACGGGUGAAAGCAGGGGAUCUUUGGACCUUGCGCGAUUGAAUGAGCCGAUGUCGGAUUAGCUAGUUGGCGGGGUAAAGGCCCACCAAGGCGACGAUCCGUAGCUGGUCUGAGAGGAUGGUCAGCCACCCUGGAAGUGAGCCAGGGUCCAGACUCCUGCGGGAGGCAGCAGUGGGGAAUAUUAGGCAAUGGGGGCAAGCCUGAUCCAGCCAUACCGCGUGGGUGAAGAAGGCCUUCGGGUUGGAAAGCCCUUUUGUUGGGAGAGAAAAGCAGCAGGUUAAUACCCCGCUGUUCUGACGGUACCCGGAGAAUAAGCACCGGCUAACUUCGUG